AGAGUUUGAUCAUGGCUCAGAGCGAACGCUGGCGGCGUGCUUAACACAUGCAAGUCGAGUGCGCAGCUUUCUGUAGCAAUACAGGAAGUGGGCGCACGGCGCACGGGUGAGUAACACGUGGGUAACCUGCCCUUGGAUGGGGAAUAACCCCGCGAAAGCGGGGCUAAUACCGCAUAACAUUCUUGAAACCUUGGUUUCGAGACUCAAAGCCGUAAGGCGUCCGAGGAGUGGCCCGCGUACGAUUAGCUAGUUGGCGAGGUAAUGGCUCACCAAGGCUUUGAUCGUUAGCCGGUCUGAGAGGAUGGCCGGCCACACUGGAACUGAGACACGGUCCAGACUCCUACGGGAGGCAGCAGUGGGGAAUAUUGCGCAAUGGGCGAAAGCCUGACGCAGCGACGCCGCGUGGGGGAUGACGCUUUUCGGAGUGUAAACCCCUUUCGAUCGGGACGAAUGCCUCGCAAGAGGAGUGACGGUACCGGUAGAAGAAGCCCCGGCUAACUACGUGCCAGCAGCCGCGGUAAUACGUAGGGGGCCAGCGUUGCUCGGAAUAACUGGGCGUAAAGGGUUCGUAGGCGGUGCGGCAAGUUGGGAGUGAAAUCUCUGGGCUUAACUCAGAGACUGCUUUCAAAACUGCCGUGCUAGAGUGCGGGAGAGGCCAGUGGAAUUGCAGGUGUAGCGGUGAAAUGCGUAGAUAUCUGCAGGAACACCAGUGGCGAAAGCGGCUUCCUGGUCCAGUACCGACGUUCAGGCACGAAAGCGUGGGGAGCAAACAGGAUUAGAUACCCUAGUAGUCC
rnacentral:rRNA from 1 species